AACGAACGCUGGCGGCAUGCCUAACACAUGCAAGUCGAACGAGACCUUCGGGUCUAGUGGCGCCCGGGUGCGUAACGCGUGGGAACCUGCCCUUAGGUUCGGAAUAACUCCCCGACAGGGGUGCUAAUACCGGAUAAUGUCUUCGGACCAAAGAUUUAUCGCCUUUGGAUGGGCCCGCGUUGGAUUAGCUAGUUGGUAGGGUAAAAGCCUAUCAAGGCGACGAUCCAUAGCUGGUCUGAGAGGAUGAUCAGCCACACUGGGACUGAGACACGGCCCAGACUCCUACGGGAGGCAGCAGUGGGGAAUAUUGGACAAUGGGCGAAAUGAUGAUCCAGCAAUGCCGCGUGAGUGAUGAAGGCCUUAGGGUUGUAAAGCUCUUUUACCCGGGAUGAUAAUGACAGUACCGGGAGAAUAAGCCCCGGCUAACUACGUG
rnacentral:rRNA from 1 species